GUUUCUUCAUGUGAUCGGUGUCAGCGAUUUGAGAAGCUCAAGACCCAAGCCCCCGAGCUACAAACCAUCAAAGUCAGUGAGGCACUCGAACUCGUUGGAAUGGAUCUCAUUGGUCCCCUGCCUACUACAGACACACUGUACAAGUAUGUGCUCACCUUCACAGAUUAUUACACAAAGUUUGUGGACUUUUUCCCCCUGAAGAACAAGUCAGCCGAGGGUGUAGCUGCGUGUCUGAAGACAUUUGUUUGCAGAUGGGGUGCUCCACAGAGAUAACUGUCUGACCAGGGUCGUGAGUUCGUAUCCCAGAUAAACAACGAGGUCUGCAAAGUCUUCAACAUCAAGCGAUCUGUAACCAGUGCGUAUCACCCACAGACGAAUGGCUUGGACGAGCGGACGAAUCAAACACUGAAGGCCCGACUUGCCAAGCUGGUGAAUGACCACCAGUCCGAUUGGGACGCGUACCUGGAAGAAGUCGCGUACUCGAUUCGCACCCAGAAACAAGGCUGUACCAAGUACACCCCGUUCUUUUUGAUGUUUGGUCGCCACCCUCGCCCCCCUAUGGAGCUCGGCACUGAUGAUCCAUCUCUUGAGCUGCCAGUGGUCGAUGACAUGGAGAUAGAGAAAAUGGUGGCCGAGAAGAGCAGCAUCAUGUCUUCCACGAUAAAGCAGGUUCAGCUGCAAUCUGAGGAAGAUAUUUCUACCUCUGCUUCCAGAGAAUGGAAAGAACCAAUGUUGUAAGAUGUGCUUAAGAAUGUCGACAGAACCCAGGAGAAGCAGAAAGAGCACUUUGCCCGACGAAAACCCAAAGGUGUAAAAUCUUUCACAUUCAGCGUUGGAGACAACCGUCCUUCGUCGUGUAAUGAAGAACCUGAGCCGCAAGGGGGGAAAGACUGGACCUUUGUGGACUGGUCCCUACAGCAUCCUGGAGAUCGAUUCAAACCAGAGAGUCCAGCUCAAGUGCUGCCAGAGAGGAGAGGUCCUUAAAGUGAAGGUGCCCUAUGACCAGCUAAGACCCCAUAAAGUCAGCGACCAUCAUCCAUACAACUCUCCAGAAAAUUCCCCCCCAGUCUCACAAGCCCCCGAGUCUCCAGCAUCUGUCGUGACCCCACCUGCAGCCCCUAAGUCUCCAGUGCCCCCGCCUGCCAAGUCAUCAUUGCAGUAAGUGCCCCCAUCUUCGCCGGCGUAUCUCCCAAAGCGAGCAGCCAAAAGAAAAGCUGACAUCUUCAUAACAAGUGUGACCGCCCCCAAAUCCCGCAAAGUAGGCCCCGUUCCCAUCACGAAAUGUGCAAGCAAGAUCAAGAAUGUGGAAGCCCUUUGCUCCAGACUUCAAACAGACAGCUAGCUCGAUGAUGAGCAGAUAGACCACGCCCAGGCAAUGUUAGCCAAACGUUUCCCCGCAAUCAGUGGAUUUCAAGCAGUCUGUGUUUUUGAGCCAGCUGCAAGCCAGAAUGUUGGCAAGCCGAACACAGACUUCGUCCAGGUUCUCAACAUAUCUGGAAAUCACUGGGUCACCCUGAGCAAUCUUGGCCAAGCUGAUCACAACGUGAUCAUGAUUUAUGACUCUGAACAGUUCUCUCCCCCUUGAUUCCAGGGAUAAGGUUUUGAGGCAAAUUGCAUGCAUGAUUCACGCAAGAGAGCCACAUGUGUGUAUUCGGUGGGCAGACAUAAAGAGACAGACUGGCUCGGAUGACUGCGGUCUCUUCGCGAUUGCAUGUGUCACUGCUCUUUGCCACGGCCUUGCGCCACAAGACUGUGACUGGGACCAGCAUAUGAUGUGCCAACAUCUCGCUGACUGUUUUAGACAAGAUGUCCUGCUCCCCUUCCCUGAUGCCCCGAAGCCCCGUACCCACCAGUCCUUCACACACCAUGAAUAUUUUGACAUCUUCUGUCAUUGCCGCAUGACCCAAAACGCUUCAUGGUGCAAGGUGACCUGUGCGAUGACUGGUUUCACCGACAAUGUGAAACAGUGCCCAGAAUAGUGCAGAAAAACACCCCAUUCUUCUGCAAGGGAUGUCGCCCUCAGGGACACAAACUUCUCGCGGAUGAUUUUGUCGAUAGACUUUGGAUAUUUUUUAUGUUCCCUGUUUUGUAAUGUUUUUUUGGUAAAUUUUUUUUUGAUAAUUUUUUUUUUUUUGUAAACUUGGUAUUUAUAUAAUGUGUAAUGAUUCCUUGGUAGGGUGAAUAGGGUGAAUUUGAUUUUAUUAUUAUAUGGGUAGUUGAAGUCAUUUGUAUAUGCAGCCUCAAAUGUUUUGAAAUUUGUAUAUAGCUUGGUGUUCAUGUAAGUUUUAUUGUUUCUGGUGGCUGGGCUUGCCACAGAGCCCAGUCAGGCACAGGCCGAAAAAGCAACGUGGACUUUCCAUCUCCACCCUGUGGGCUCACCACCUGCAGGGGGAACCACAGGUGUCGGGUGCACUGUCCUUUGGGUGGCAGUGAAAGUCGAGGGCCGCGACGGACCAGACCCGGUUGGCAGGGGCUAGCCCUGGGGGUGUGGAAUGUCACCUCGCUGUGUGGGAAGGAGCCAGAGCUUGUACAGAAGUUGGAGUGAUACCAGUUAGAUGUGUGGGUCUCGCCUCCACACACAGCCUCGGCUCCGGCACCACUCUCCUUGAUAGGGGUUGGACCUUAUUCUUCUCUGGAGUUGCCCAGGGGGUGAGGCGCCGGGUGGGUGU